rnacentral:rRNA from 1 species
GUGGGGAAUCUUAGACAAUGGGCGCAAGCCUGAUCUAGCCAUGCCGCGUGAGCGAUGAAGGCCUUAGGGUUGUAAAGCUCUUUCAGGGGGGAAGAUAAUGACGGUACCCCCAGAAGAAGCCCCGGCUAACUCCGUGCCAGCAGCCGCGGUAAUACGGAGGGGGCUAGCGUUGUUCGGAAUUACUGGGCGUAAAGCGCACGUAGGCGGACCAGAAAGUCAGGGGUGAAAUCCCGGGGCUCAACCCCGGAACUGCCUUUGAAACUCCUGGUCUUGAGGUCGAGAGAGGUGAGUGGAAUUCCGAGUGUAGAGGUGAAAUUCGUAGAUAUUCGGAGGAACACCAGUGGCGAAGGCGGCUCACUGGCUCGAUACUGACGCUGAGGUGCGAAAGCGUGGGGAGCAAACAGGAUUAGAAACCCGAGUAGUCC